UAGCGGAGGAAAAGAAACUAACAAGGAUUCCCCUAGUAACGGCGAGUGAACCGGGAAGAGCUCAAAUUUGAAAUCUGGCGUCCUCAGGGCGUCCGAGUUGUAAUCUAUAGAGGCGUUUUCCGUGCCGGACCGUGUCCAAGUUCCUUGGAACAGGAUAUCAAAGAGGGUGACAAUCCCGUACUUGACACGACGACCGGUGCUCUGUGAUACGUCUUCUACGAGUCGAGUUGUUUGGGAAUGCAGCUCAAAAUGGGUGGUGAGUUCCAUCUAAAGCUAAAUAUUGGCGAGAGACCGAUAGCGAACAAGUACCGUGAGGGAAAGAUGAAAAGCACUUUGGAAAGAGAGUUAAACAGUACGUGAAAUUGUUGAAAGGGAAACGAUUGAAGUCAGUCGUGACCGAGAGGCUCAGCCGGUUCUGCCGGUGUAUUCCCCUCGGUCGGGUCAACAUCAGUUUUGUCCGGUGGAUAAGGACGGUAGGAAGGUGGCACCCUCGGGUGUGUUAUAGCCUGCCGUCGCAUACAUCGGGUGAGACUGAGGAACGCAGCUCGCCUUUAUGGCCGGGGUUCGCCCACGUCCGAGCUUAGGAUGUUGACAUAAUGGCUUUAAACGACCCGUCUUGA
rnacentral:sRNA from 1 species